rnacentral:rRNA from 1 species
ACAUGCAAGUCGAGGGGCAGCAUGGUCUUAGCUUGCUAAGGCCGAUGGCGACCGGCGCACGGGUGAGUAACACGUAUCCAACCUGCCGUCUACUCUUGGACAGCCUUCUGAAAGGAAGAUUAAUACAAGAUGGCAUCAUGAGUCCGCAUGUUCACAUGAUUAAAGGUAUUCCGGUAGACGAUGGGGAUGCGUUCCAUUAGAUAGUAGGCGGGGUAACGGCCCACCUAGUCUUCGAUGGAUAGGGGUUCUGAGAGGAAGGUCCCCCACAUUGGAACUGAGACACGGUCCAAACUCCUACGGGAGGCAGCAGUGAGGAAUAUUGGUCAAUGGGCGAGAGCCUGAACCAGCCAAGUAGCGUGAAGGAUGACUGCCCUAUGGGUUGUAAACUUCUUUUAUAAAGGAAUAAAGUCGGGUAUGGAUACCCGUUUGCAUGUACUUUAUGAAUAAGGAUCGGCUAACUCCGUGCCAGCAGCCGCGGUAAUACGGAGGAUCCGAGCGUUAUCCGGAUUUAUUGGGUUUAAAGGGAGCGUAGAUGGAUGUUUAAGUCAGUUGUGAAAGUUUGCGGCUCAACCGUAAAAUUGCAGUUGAUACUGGAUAUCUUGAGUGCAGUUGAGGCAGGCGGAAUUCGUGGUGUAGCGGUGAAAUGCUUAGAUAUCACGAAGAACUCCGAUUGCGAAGGCAGCCUGCUAAGCUGCAACUGACAUUGAGGCUCGAAAGUGUGGUAUCAAACAGGAUUAGAUA